rnacentral:rRNA from 1 species
AAAUUGAAGAGUUUGAUCAUGGCUCAGAUUGAACGCUGGCGGCAGGCCUAACACAUGCAAGUCGAACGGUAACAGGAAGAAGCUUGCUUCUUUGCUGACGAGUGGCGGACGGGUGAGUAAUAUCUGGGAAACUGCCUGAUGGAGGGGGAUAACUACUGGAAACGGUAGCUAAUACCGCAUAACGUCGCAAGACCAAAGAGGGGGACCUUCGGGCCUCUUGCCAUCGGAUGUGCCCAGAUGGGAUUAGCUAGUAGGUGGGGUAACGGCUCACCUAGGCGACGAUCCCUAGCUGGUCUGAGAGGAUGACCAGCCACACUGGAACUGAGACACGGUCCAGACUCCUACGGGAGGCAGCAGUGGGGAAUAUUGCACAAUGGGCGCAAGCCUGAUGCAGCCAUGCCGCGUGUAUGAAGAAGGCCUUCGGGUUGUAAAGUACUUUCAGCGGGGAGGAAGGGAGUAAAGUUAAUAC